AUUCAAAACAAACAAAAAACAAUUGUGCAUUUGCAUUUAUUAAAAAUCAUCUCAACAUAAAUAGUAACGAAAUCCACAUUGAUCCAUUUGAAGUUGUUACUAGAUCUCUAGACAUGCAAUUGAUCGAUUUUAAAAUUAAAGUUUUGUGGGGUUGAAGAGUUGAAAAUCAAGUUGGAAGAAUUGAAGGUCCAAAAAUGUAUGCAACAACAAAUGUAGUCAGCUUUAAAAGAAAUGACUCCAGAUUAGGCACUUAUAUUCGACGCAUAGAAUUGUCUUCCAGAUUGCUACAGUCAGGUGAAAAAGUUGGCAUUUGGAAGGCCGACUAUCUUCAGAUCGACAUAUUCGUGCGAGCAAGCGUUCUUUUGCAUGAAUAUAAUUAAACAUAAAGUAAGAAGCAAACUUAAAAAAAUGAAAAUUUAGAGCGGUGUUUGAAACUAAAAACAAGUUAUGAACCAAAUGUAUCGAG